CGGCCCGUAGCUCAAUGGUAGAGCAAAUGUCUUAUACACAUUGAACGUAGGUCCGAUUCCUGCCGGGCCGACCA
rnacentral:tRNA from 1 species